rnacentral:rRNA from 1 species
CUUGGUGUUACUGCGAAGGGGGGACGGAGAAGGCUAUGUUGGCCGGGCGACGGUUGUCCCGGUUUAAGCGUGUAGGCUGGUUUUCCAGGCAAAUCCGGAAAAUCAAGGCUGAGGCGUGAUGACGAGGCACUACGGUGCUGAAGCAACAAAUGCCCUGCUUCCAGGAAAAGCCUCUAAGCAUCAGGUAACAUCAAAUCGUACCCCAAACCGACACAGGUGGUCAGGUAGAGAAUACCAAGGCGCUUGAGAGAACUCGGGUGAAGGAACUAGGCAAAAUGGUGCCGUAACUUCGGGAGAAGGCACGCUGAUAYGUAGGUGAAGUCCCUYGCGGAUGGAGCUGAAAUCAGUCGAAGAUACCAGCUGGCUGCAACUGUUUAUUAAAAACACAGCACUGUGCAAACACGAAAGUGGACGUAUACGGUGUGACGCCUGCCCGGUGCCGGAAGGUUAAUUGAUGGGGUCAGCGCAAGCGAAGCUCUUGAUCGAAGCCCCGGUAAACGGCGGCCGUAACUAUAACGGUCCUAAGGUAGCGAAAUUCCUUGUCGGGUAAGUUCCGACCUGCACGAAUGGCGUAAUGAUGGCCAGGCUGUCUCCACCCGAGACUCAGUGAAAUUGAACUCGCUGUGAAGAUGCAGUGUACCCGCGGCAAGACGGAAAGACCCCGUGAACCUUUACUAUAGCUUGACACUGAACAUUGAGCCUUGAUGUGUAGGAUAGGUGGGAGGCUURGAAGUGUGGACGCCAGUCUGCAUGGAGCCGACCUUGAAAUACCACCCUUUAAUGUUUGAUGUUCUAACGUKGACCCGUAAUCCGGGUUGCGGACAGUGUCUGGUGGGUAGUUUGACUGGGGCGGUCUCCUCCUAAAGAGUAACGGAGGCGCGCGAAGGUUGGCUCAGGCCGGUUGGAAACCGGCUGUUAGAGUGCAAUGGCAUAAGCCAGCUUGACUGCGAGCGUGACGGCGCGAGCAGGUGCGAAAGCAGGUCAUAGUGAUCCGGUGGUUCUGAAUGGAAGGGCCAUCGCUCAACGGAUAAAAGGUACUCCGGGGAUAACAGGCUGAUACCGCCCAAGAGUUCAUAUCGACGGCGGUGUUUGGCACCUCGAUGUCGGCUCAUCACAUCCUGGGGCUGAAGUAGGUCCCAAGGGUAUGGCUGUUCGCCAUUUAAAGUGGUACGCGAGCUGGGUUUAGAACGUCGUGAGACAGUUCGGUCCCUAUCUGCCGUGGGCGCUGGAGAACUGAGGGGGGCUGCUCCUAGUACGAGAGGACCGGAGUGGACGCAUCACUGGUGUUCGGGUUGUCAUGCCAAUGGCACUGCCCGGUAGCUAAAUGCGGAAGAGAUAAGUGCUGAAAGCAUCUAAGCACGAAACUUGCCCCGAGAUGAGUUCUCCCUGACYCYUURAGRGUCCUGAAGGAACGUUGAAGACGACGACGUUGAUAGGCCGGGUGUGUAAGCGCAGCGAUGCGUUGAGCUAACCGGUACUAAUGAACCGUGAGGCUUAACC